AUUGAACGCUGGCGGCAUGCCUUACGCAUGCAAGUCGAACGGUAACAGGUCUUCGGAUGCUGACGAGUGGCGAACGGGUGAGUAAUACAUCGGAACGUGCCCGAUCGUGGGGGAUAACGGAGCGAAAGCUUUGCUAAUACCGCAUACGAUCUAUGGAUGAAAGCAGGGGACCGCAAGGCCUUGCGCGGACGGAGCGGCCGAUGGCAGAUUAGGUAGUUGGUGGGAUAAAAGCUUACCAAGCCGACGAUCUGUAGCUGGUCUGAGAGGACGACCAGCCACACUGGGACUGAGGCACGGCCCAGACUCCUACGGGAGGCAGCAGUGGGGAAUUUUGGACAAUGGGCGCAAGCCUGAUCCAGCCAUGCCGCGUGCAGGAUGAAGGCCUUCGGGUUGUAAACUGCUUUUGUACGGAACGAAACGGCUCCUUCUAAUAAAGGGGGCUAAUGACGGUACCGUAAGAAUAAGCACCGGCUAACUACGUGCCAGCCGCCGCCGUAAGAC
rnacentral:rRNA from 1 species